rnacentral:rRNA from 1 species
CGACGAUCCGUAGCUGGUCUGAGAGGAUGGUCAGCCACACUGGAACUGAGACACGGUCCAGACUCCUACGGGAGGCAGCAGUGGGGAAUAUUGGACAAUGGGCGCAAGCCUGAUCCAGCCAUACCGCGUGGGUGAAGAAGGCCUUCGGGUUGUAAAGCCCUUUUGUUGGGAAAGAAAUCCAGCUGGUUAAUACCCGGUUGGGAUGACGGUACCCAAAGAAUAAGCGCCGGCUAACUUCGUGCCAGCAGCCGCGGUAAUACGAAGGGUGCAAGCGUUACUCGGAAUUACUGGGCGUAAAGCGUGCGUAGGUGGUCGUUUAAGUCCGUUGUGAAAGCCCUGGGCUCAACCUGGGAACUGCAGUGGAUACUGGGCGACUAGAGUGUGGUAGAGGGUAGCGGAAUUCCUGGUGUAGCAGUGAAAUGCGUAGAGAUCAGGAGGAACAUCCGUGGCGAAGGCAGCUACCUGGACCAACACUGACACUGAGGCACGAAAGCGUGGGGAGCAAACAGGAUUAGAUACCCUGGUAGUCCACGCCCUAAACGAUGCGAACUGGAUGUUGGGUGCAAUUUGGCACGCAGUAUCGAAGCUAACGCGUUAAGUUCGCC